UACGUAGGGUGCAAGCGUUGUCCGGAAUUAUUGGGCGUAAAGAGCUCGUAGGCGGUUCGUCGCGUCGGCUGUGAAAACCUGAGGCUCAACCUCAGGCCUGCAGUCGAUACGGGCGGACUUGAGUACUGCAGGGGAGACUGGAAUUCCUGGUGUAGCGGUGAAAUGCGCAGAUAUCAGGAGGAACACCGGUGGCGAAGGCGGGUCUCUGGGCAGUAACUGACGUGGAGGAG
rnacentral:rRNA from 1 species